rnacentral:lncRNA from 1 species
CCCAAACCCCAAAGCCCGACCGCUUUCUGGGCGUCCUCGAAGGUUUUCUCGAUGGCCGCGAUCUGACUGUCCCUGUCCUUGUAGAUCUCCUCCUCCGUGAACUGCUGCUUCACCGACACCCCGAUCCUGACAGGUCACCCAGAAACACCCCGAAUCCGACAAAAUCAGCCCAAAAACACCCAGAAUCAGCCAAAAUCACCCAAAAACACCAAAAAUCAGCCCAAAACACCAAAAAUCAGCCCAAAAACACCCCAGAAUCAGACAGAAUCAGCCCAAAAACACCCAAAAUCAGCCAAAAUCAGCCCAAAACCACCCCAAGAACACCAAAAAUCAGCCCAAAACCACCCCAGAAUCAGACAGAAUCACCCCAAAACUGCCCCAGAAUCAGACAGAAUCAGCCCAAAACCGCCCCAAAAACACCAAAAAUCACCCCAAAUCAGCCAAAAUCAGCCCAAAAUCACCCCAGAACCCACCUCAAAAUAACCCAAAAUCACCCCACAAUCACCCAAAAAUCAUCCAAAUUCACCUCAAAAUUCCCCAAAUCCCCCCAAAAUUAUUCUAAAUCACUCCAAAAUCACCCCAAAAUCACCCCAAAUCAUUUAAAAAUCUCCCCAAAAUCCCCCAAAAUCCACCCAAAUCACCCCAAAAUCCCCCAAAACCCCCCGCAAAAUCCCCUCAAAUCCCAAGUCCACCCAAAAUCCCCCCAAAUCCCCCCAAAAUUCACCCAAAAUGCCCCAAAAUCACCUCAAAAUCACCCCAAAAUCGCUGAAAAUUCCCCAAAAUCAGCCAAAAAUCACACAAAACCCCCCAAAAUCACCCAAAAAUACCCCAAAAUUACCCAAAAAUCCCCCCAAAAUAACCCAAAAUUCCCCAAAUUCCCCCAAAUCCCCCAAAUCCACCCAAAAAUCCCCCAAAUCCCCCAAAAAUCACCCAAAAAUCAUCCAAAUCCACCCCAAAAUCCCCCAAAAAUCACCCAAAAUCAUCCAAAAAUCCUCCAAAAUCACCCAAAAUCCACAAAAAUUACCCAAAAAUCACCCAAAAAUCCCCCAAAAA